rnacentral:rRNA from 1 species
CGGCCACAUUGGGACUGAGAUACGGCCCAGACUCCUACGGGAGGCAGCAGUGGGGAAUAUUGCACAAUGGGCGCAAGCCUGAUGCAGCGACGCCGCGUGCGGGAUGACGGCCUUCGGGUUGUAAACCGCUUUUGUUGGGGAGCAAGCCUUCGGGUGAGUGUACCCUUCGAAUAAGCACCGGCUAACUACGUGCCAGCAGCCGCGGUAAUACGUAGGGUGCAAGCGUUAUCCGGAAUUAUUGGGCGUAAAGGGCUCGUAGGCGGUUCGUCGCGUCCGGUGUGAAAGUCCAUCGCUUAACGGUGGAUCCGCGCCGGGUACGGGCGGGCUUGAGUGCGGUAGGGGAGACUGGAAUUCCCGGUGUAACGGUGGAAUGUGUAGAUAUCGGGAAGAACACCAAUGGCGAAGGCAGGUCUCUGGGCCGUCACUGACGCUGAGGAGCGAAAGCGUGGGGAGCGAACAGGAUUAGAUACCCUGGUAGUCCACGCCGUAAACGGUGGAUGCUGGAUGUGGGGCCCAUUCCACGGGUUCCGUGUCGGAGCUAACGCGUUAAGCAUCCCGCCUGGGGAGUACGGCCGCAAGGCUAAAACUCAAAGAAAUUGACGGGGGCCCGCACAAGCGGCGGAGCAUGCGGAUUAAUUCGAUGCAACGCGAAGAACCUUACCUGGGCUUGACAUGUUCCCGACAGCCCCAGAGAUGGGGCCUCCCUUCGGGGCGGGUUCACAGGUGGUGCAUGGUCGUCGUCAGCUCGUGUCGUGAGAUGUUGGGUUAAGUCCCGCAACGAGCGCAACCCUCGCCCUGUGUUGCCAGCACGUCGUGGUGGGAACUCACGGGGGACCGCCGGGGUCAACUCGGAGGAAGGUGGGGAUGACGUCAGAUCAUCAUGCCCCUUACGUCCAGGGCUUCACGCAUGCUACAAUGGCCGGUACAACGGGAUGCGACAUGGCGACAUGGAGCGGAUCCCUGAAAACCGGUCUCAGUUCGGAUUGGAGUCUGCAACCCGACUCCAUGAAGGCGGAGUCGCUAGUAAUCGCGGAUCAGCAACGCCGCGGUGAAUGCGUUCCCGGGCCUUGUACACACCGCCCGUCAAGUCAUGAAAGUGGGUAGCACCCGAAGCCGGUGGCCCAACCUUUUGGGGGGAGCCGUCUAAGGUGAGACUCGUGAUUGGGACUAAGUCGUAACAAGGUAGCCGUACCGGAAGGUGCGGCUG